CCUACGGGCGGCAGCAGUAGGGAAUUUUCGUCAAUGGGCGCAAGCCUGAACGAGCAAUGCCGCGUGAACGAGGAAGGUCUUCGGAUCGUAAAGUUCUGUUGAAGGGGAAAAAGAGCGGAGAGAGGAAAUGGUCUCCGAUUGAUAUUACCCUUCGAGGAAGUCACGGCUAACUACGUGCCAGCAGCCGCGGUAAUACGUAGGUGGCGAGCGUUAUCCGGAAUGAUUGGGCGUAAAGGGUGCGUAGGCGGCCUGCUAAGUCUGGAGUGAAAGGUACCGGCUCAACCGGUACAGGCUCUGGAAACUGGCGGGCCAGAGAGCAGGAGAGGGCGGUAGAACUCCAUGUGUAGCGGUAAAAUGCGUAGAUAUAUGGAAGAACACCAGUGGCGAAGGCGGCCGCCUGGCCUGUUACUGACGCUGAGGCACGAAAGCGUGGGGAGCAAAUAGGAUUAGAUACCCCGGUAGUC
rnacentral:rRNA from 1 species